UCGUGAUAGUGUCUCGUUCAUUAGAUGUU
rnacentral:sRNA from 1 species